AUUCCAGCUCCAGAAGCGUAUACUAACGUUGUUGCAGUUAAAAAGCUCGUAGUUGAAUUUCUGGUAAGAGCGACCUGGCCUUUCGAUGAAUGUCGAUUGUAUGCUAUGUGUUGUCUUUGGCCAUCCUUGGUUGUAUUUAAUAUAUAACCAUCAUUUACUGUAAAAAAAUUAGAGUGUUUCAAGCAAAAAGUAUUUUGGAAUAUAAUAGUAUGGAAUAAUAAGAUAGGACUUUUGUACUAUUUUGUUGGUUUGUAUACAAAAGUAAUGAUUAAUAGGGACAAUUGGGGGUAUUAGUAUUUAAUUGUCAGAGGUGAAAUUCUUGGAUUUAUGAAAGACUAACUACUGCGAAGGCAUUUACCAAGGAUGUUUUCAUUA
rnacentral:rRNA from 1 species